rnacentral:rRNA from 1 species
UACGUAGGGACCAAGCGUUGUUCGGAUUUACUGGGCGUAAAGGGCGCGUAGGCGGCAAUUCAAGUCAGCUGUGAAAUCUCCGGGCUUAACUCGGAACGGUCAGCUGAUACUGCUUUGCUAGAGUGCAGAAGGGGCAAUCGGAAUUCUUGGUGUAGCGGUGAAAUGCGUAGAUAUCAAGAGGAACACCUGAGGUGGAGACGGGUUGCUGGGCUGACACUGACGCUGAGUGCGCGAAAGCUAGGGUAGCAAACGGG